rnacentral:lncRNA from 1 species
AGUUAUGUGACAAUCAGAAAACAUGUAGUGUGAGUUUCUGUCCCAGGCAAAUCCACGCACCAUUUAAGACUGUUUGACUUGGUAACAGAGUCAGUGGCCAGCUCCUUCCUGUAAGGGAAGAGAUGAAUAAAACAGGAAGUGGGAGGGAGAAGACAGUCCAGAGCAUUUGUGAAGGGAAGGAUGGGGACACAGAACAGGAUCUCCAUGAGUGGUAAUAGCCAGCUUAACCCCCACAGGCAGCUGGCCAUGCUGUGUGAGUGUGCACGUGUGUGUGCAUAUGUGUGUUGGUGUAUAUAUAUGUGUGUGUGUGUGUCUGUGCAGGCAUACAUGUGCUUACAUAUGCAUGUGUGUCUUAUGUAAAGCAUGUAGAAGUAUGUGUACAUUUACUUUUUUACAGUUUUUUUCUAAAAACACUCCCUUUCUGUAUUGGAUAAGCUAAUUCCUAAGAGAUCUUUUUUGAUUGGCAACAUCUCUGAUAAGAGAUGACAUAAGAUGAGAGUUGCUUACAUGUAUGCAGAGUAAAACAAACUGGGACAGAAAGAGAGGCAGGCAGGGGGUCAAGGGUUUCUCACCUCUUGUGGGACCCAGGCUGGGUCUUCUGGCUGGGGUGGGUGGUGGUCUGGAGGGUGAGGGACAACUCAGGUGUCUCUGGUGCCCCGAGCUGCACAAAGUCGAAGACAGCAUCUUUUCCCGGAGACCCCUGAGCUUGGCUGGUGCUCACCCUGGUUUCCCAUUUCUCCCCUCAUUGCAAUAUUCUUAUGUUUCUGCAGACAGGCCUCCCGCCGGAAAAAAACCCCAGCAGCCUCCUGUGCCUCCCCAGAGACCAAUGGCUGCCCUUCCUCCACUGCCUACCGGCCGCAAUUACUCACCACUGCCCCCACCCCAGCCCAACCAAGAAGAGUCCAACAGAAGUCGAAACCACAAACCAGCAAAGUGUAAGCAUGAGGCUGCUCUCUCCUGGCCAACAUCCCACCCCUACCCCUGGCCCUGCCACUGGCUUUCUUCUGACUGCAGCCUUUCCCUUCCAGUGCCGGCUCCGUCUAUAGAUAGAAGAACAAAACCUCCCCUAGAUCGUUCUUUAGCCCCGCUGGACAGAGAGCCCUUCACAAUAGGAAAGAAACCAACAUUUUCUGACAAGCCCUCAGCUCCAGUGGGAAGGACUCCCGGGGACCAUUUACCCAAGAUACAAAAGCUUCCUUUACCACCAACCACCGACAGACAUGAAAGAAGUAGCCCCCUGCCAGGGAAGAAGCCACCUGUACCAAAGUAA